rnacentral:sRNA from 1 species
GCGAAAGCAGUUGAAAUGGAACUGUUGGUUUACAGCAGCCAUUUUAAUGGUGAAGUGGUGAUAGCUGGUAUAGUUUUAGAUACAGCAGUACAGUCUGACCCUGUUCUUUUUUAUGUUGAUUGGUUGCGGGUGACUUGCUCGGAGCUUGUUAACAACCAUUUAAUAUUUCAGCAAACAAGAGGUUUUUGUUUUAAUGACUAGUAAUAACUUAGUCUGGUGUGGUAGUCAGCUUUUUUAUAUGUUAGAUGCAGAUAAUUUUUUAGUCUGAGACAGGUGUUUUCCUCUUGCCGUCCAGAUUUGUAACUUGGGUUAAUAAUCUUUCCUACCAUUGGGAGCCACACAGACGAUGUAAAAAAACAUUUUCUAAAGAUUUUAGUGGUACUUAUGUUCAUUUGUUGUAUGCUUGGACCGGACCCC